rnacentral:rRNA from 1 species
CAAUAGCGUAUAUUAAAGUUGUUGCAGUUAAAAAGCUCGUAGUUGGAUUUCUGGCCGAGUGUCCCCAAGCAGACAGACGUCUUGUCUUGGGCGCUCUGCCAUCCUUCUGUUAACCUUCGCCUCGUUCGUUCGUGGCGCUGGGGCUCAGAUAUUUUACCUUGAGAAAAUUAGAGUGUUUCAGGCAGGCUUCGCCGGAAUACAUUAGCAUGGAAUAAUGGAAAAGGACUUCAACCUCUUCUGUUGGUCUGAGAGGCUGUAGUAAUGAUUAAUAGGGAUAGUUGGGGGCAUUCGUAUUUGACUGUCAGAGGUGAAAUUCUUGGAUUUGUUGAAGACGGACUACUGCGAAAGCAUCUGCCAAAGAUGUUCUCAUUGAUCAAGAACGAAAGUUAGGUGAUCGAAGAUGAUCAGAUACC